CGCGCGAGCGAGAGAGCGCACGCACGCACGCGCGCGCGUACACACACACAGUGCAUCUGAAGCAGCAAAACCUACUCACGGUGGCCCCACAACUGUGGAGAGCUAGUCUGGACAUCUAAAACUCCCCUCUCAGUGGAGGCCUGCUUCGAGAAGUGUGCACUUGGUUUGGGAUUCAUCUCAACUGGUACAGGACCUGUGCUUGAAACCCCACUGUGAUGAACAGAUCUGAUCCUUCGUGCCAGAAGGGACUAUCCGACUUGGACAGAAGCAGCAGAGAAUUUCACUCCGUUCUCCCACGUUCUGCUUUCUUCCAUCACUUUUAAAAAUAAUUCCUAUCCCUGUUGGGCUGUCUCCUCUGCUGAGCAAAGGUGGCAUGUUAGUACUUCUUACAGCUUGAGCUUCCCUUGGUAUGACAAGAACAGAGGCAGCUUCAAGAAAGACACAUGCCUGUUGAGGAUAAUUUUGAGACUAAAUACAGAGGAAGUUCGAGGAUCCAAAAUUUGACACUAACCUAUUUGUAACCGAGGGGCUAAGCAACAGUGUUGAUGCUUUGGCAGUCAGAAAGGAACUGAGCCAAUGGUGCCCAAACUGCCAAUACCACUGGAAGCACUGAGCAUGUGCAAGGCAGAGUGGAUACCGUGAGGAGCUAGCUAAUCCUUCUGUGAGGUCCCUGCAGAGGCACAGAACCCGAUGCUUAUGUAUGCCAACGGAUCACAAUCCAGAUCAAUGUGAUGUGGGCAAAGCACUUCCCUGUACACAUGCUCCAUAUCACCCUAUUUAGAGGCACUUAUAAACAGGCAAUGGUCUAUUUGCUGUAUAAUUAGCAGCCCAAUGGUCAGCAGCAGAGGGGUGUGUAUGUGUGUCGUCGCAAGCCAAUACUUAUUUGGAAAGGGCCAGCACACACGUUAAUGUAAAUGUAAAUAGGCCUGCAUGGAAUGUUUAUAUGGGUAAGCUCUUUGCUUGUGGCCCAGGUCACAUUCAUCUGUACUUGGAACUUACACUGAAAUAAAAAGACUUGUUUUCAAGA